AUGCCGAAAUUCUGGCAUGCGCCUCGGUCUUCCAGUAGAGGGCAUCUUAUUGAAAUAGUGAGGAAAAGAUGCAAAAUGAUUAUAGCGCGUAUUGAGGAAGGUUACAUGCCAAAGAGAUUAGCAAAGGCCAUGUCAGUGGUGAACCUAUACUGGAAGCAGAAGUUGAGAUCCAUGGAUAUUUCUCAGUUAGAGUACUUCCCCUUUUCAAAAGAAACAGCGUCUUUGCAAAAUGAUGUCCUGAAUGCUCUUUGGUUGCUUCCAAAACUCCAGCAUGAUGACCUAAAAUUGCUGCGUCCCAUAUUGGACCCAGAUCCUAAAUUUCGAAAGAUGCAAUUUAGAGUAGCUUUGAGGAAGUACUUGUUAGAAUGCUUGUUUGAAUCUGAUGAAGGUGAUUUGCCAGAUGAGGCCCAUCAAGCCAUAGCCUUUAUAAAUCGGAUUUCUCAAUGUAAAAGUGCCUGUCUGACAGAACGAAGGAAGAAUGCUGAAGUAGAUUCUGUAUUGAAUGUAAGCAGUCAACUCAGAGCUUUCGUAUAUUAUGAUAUCGAUGACUGUUCAGACGAGGACGAGUUGAUGAGCUUAGGGAGUGUCAACUGCAGCGGGGAUAAUGAUUUCAUACUCCCCGAGACCAACUAUUUCCACUAUAACUUUGAGCAGCAUAUGGAUGAGCCUUGUUCUUCGAAUAGUGCACCCAAAGUUGUUGAUAUGGACGAGUGUUGUUCGGCUGAAUCUACCAGAGCUGCACAUCAUGUUCAAGAAGCUGAACAUUUAGAUUCCAAAUUAGAGGAGGUUUUCAGGAAACCAUGUGAAGGAACUGAAAACUCUGGAGCCACUCCACAUUACAGAGACAACCUUGCUUUGGAGGAGGCUGUUGAUACCAAUCAUUUGAAGACGCCAGUGCACUCUAAGGAUCUCUCCGAGAUAUGUGAUGAAACUUCAACAGCAGCCCACAUGCUCAUUGGACAAAUUUUGGAUAAAUGGCUACUUGUAGGGAACGGCGAAGUGGAAGUGCUCACCAGACAUUAUCUUGGAGGGGGCUUGGUUUCUGAAGGUCCACAACGUACGUUGCGGGGUAUCGUUGUAGCUUCUCUGUUGUCCUACUCCUCUCAGGUAUAUGUUGCAUGUGUGAAGUCGAGAGUAAGCUGA
rnacentral:rRNA from 1 species